rnacentral:rRNA from 1 species
UACUCGAGUGGCGAACGGGUGAGUAACACGUGGGUGAUCUGCCCUGCACUUCGGGAUAAGCUUGGGAAACUGGGUCUAAUACCGGAUAGGAGCCAUCUUUAGUGUGGUGGUUGGAAAGUUUUUUCGGUGUAGGAUGAGCUCGCGGCCUAUCAGCUUGUUGGUGGGGUAAUGGCCUACCAAGGCGGCGACGGGUAGCCGGCCUGAGAGGGGUGUACGGCCACAUUGGGACUGAGAUACGGCCCAG